rnacentral:tRNA from 1 species
GCCAGAGUGGUGUAGUGGUUUGAACAUUGGACUAUGACUCUGGAGACCAGGGUUUGAAUCCCCGCUUGGCCA